GCAGGGCUGCAGCUGCAACAGCUUUGCCCCCAAUACUCUCCUCUGAAGGGAGCCAUGCGAGCAGAGCCGCCACACUGCCCAGCUCGUCCAGGUUUCUGACUGCCUGCUGCCACAUCGCUGCCUGCAGGGACCUCAACGCAGGGUACCUGGCAAGGUCCAGACAGCAAUCAACAGACAUUCAACAUGUAUCUUGCAACUUGAAUUGGGAUUCCUAAGGCUUGCGGCACUUAUGGUGGAGGACUCACCUUUCCCACAGCAGGGGGAUGCACAGGAACUGUGACACCAUACCAGUGUGCCUCAGAGGUGCAAAAUGGACUGCUUGGCGGCCCAGGCAUGUGAGAAGCUGCUGUGCUGGGCUCCCUGCC
rnacentral:lncRNA from 1 species